CUUUUCUUUUAGAAUUAAAGUAUUAAGUCUUUUAACAAGAAAUAAACUUCAUGUUGCUUAUUAAAAAGGUAAAAAAUAUCCGAAUACGAUGUCGUAUACACUUUGGACCAGAACGAAGAUGUCUCUCUUUUGUUAUUAGAUUUCCAGAUUUUUUAAAUAAACAUUUGCUAUCCAAGGGGCCCAGAUGAAUAAGACGGUAACAGUUAUUUCGCCAUGAUAAUUCUCGUACAGCCAUGCGCUUGGCGCAAUUGCAAUGCAACAAUCGUCGUACUUCCUCGAGCACACAAAACACACGUGUAUGUGACUAGAAAUGUUAUUUAGUCAAGAUGAAUAGCCAUGAUGUUGCUAAUUCGAGCAAAGAAUUGGAUACUUGACACAAAAAGGAAAAGCAAUUUACUGUAGACUCUGUUACGCGACGCAAAAGAGGGAAGAUUCUCCACCCGAAAUUGUACCCUUUG